rnacentral:lncRNA from 1 species
CAUUUUGUGCCACAGGAUAAUUUGUAAGCUUGCACUACUGUGACCCACAACAGUGAAGCCAAUAAUAAGACUCUGCAUUACAGUUUGUGUGUUAGCAGCCAGCAAUUUCUGUGAGAAAUUACAAGUGCUUAAACAAAGCAAUAAUGCGCCCCGGGGCCAUUUCCUUGCUAUGCUGAGUUCAAAAGGAACGAAUGAGCUCUUUGUCCUGGCAGGAAGCCUUUUUACCCUUAAACAAUCUGCCUGAUUUUGUCUGUGAGUAGAUCUUUUUAGAAUAAUCCAGCAGAAGUUACAGAGUUUAUUUAAAAGAGUUGCAAUGUGUGGCAUGCCAAAUUAAUCUCAGAAUUUCUACUAAAUUCAUCUAAAUUCUGGCUUCAAAGCUGCAUUUCAAAAGGCUGCUUUUCAAGAUGUGUUUGUUGCUGGUUGAUCUUCGGGUAUACAACUGAAAAUUACAAUUGAUGGAUAUUAUUCCUAUUGUUCCAUAGCUGAGUUGAAA